UGAAACUACAGCACAGCCUCCUGCUCAUGGGAGAAGCCACCUCCCCAGAAAGCAGCCUGGAUCCCUGCUCCACAGAAACUCUGAGAGAACCAAACUUGGCCUGUUGCAUGGGAUACGUUUGAAGGCGUGUUUCAUACAUAAGUCCCAGGGCUCAUUCAGCCCAGGAACAAGGCCCACUUCCUUCAAGGACCCCAGGCAACUUUACACCACCCAUCGGAUCCAGAAGCUGCCACUUGACCUACACUGGGGAUCCCAAAUCUGAAGCAAUAUGCCCACUCUUUGUGGAACCUCAGUGGGCUCUGCACCAGUGAUCAGCCUGACUUCUCCUGAUGCCCAAGCACCCAGAGGCACUACAGUGCCUGGCCCUUGGGGUGACAACUUUAGCCUGGUCCACAUAUAGCAUGGGGGAAAUCGGUCAGGGGCCUCUGUGAAUGCUACAGAUGACUCCAAUCAUGGCACUGCUAGCAGUGAUGGCAUCACACGCAGAACCAGGAUGAACAGCUGCAGGAGCAACACCUUGGCCUCUGCCAAUAGCCCACCCGGCCCAGUAACAAUCACGGCAACUACAACUCCCAUAGAAGGAUAAAACCUGGGUUUGGCAGGUCCACUCUGGUUCCCAGGAACAGGUCUAUAUCCCAGUGAAAAAUAUUUCAGAUUGAAGACACCCCUCUGUGGGAGGAAGAGAGAGCUGUUUAAUCAUCACCACCUUCCCUGGUGUAGACGUGAACCUGGUGAGUUUGAGUUCUGGGCUGGCUUUCGGUACCUUAGACCUGGCUGAUGUCCACUGCUCUUUCUCAAUGCUCAUUUGCCCACACCUGUUUGCCUCAUGGCCACUCUUGUCCUCCCUGUCAUUAUGUACAUAA